AUGUACCACGCGUACACUCCGGUUUCUAAGGCGCCGUCCACACCCACCUGACGACUGCUCAUUACGUUUCGUUAGCC
rnacentral:sRNA from 1 species